ACAGCAUUUACCCACAUCUGGACCACUUACAGCCUUCAUUUCAGUUCAUAUAGUUUCUGUGCCUUGACUGUCAAAGGGUUGCUGAAGUCUUAGCUGAGAAAUACUUGCCAGACCUUCCUCUAGAAGAAGACACAAGAAAUUUUUGUCUUUCAUUACUCCAGAUAAUUUAUGGAUUUCUUCUUCUUCUGACUAGAUGAUGGUGCCUGUCCACUAACUGAACAACUGAGCAAAGGAUGUCAAGUUGUUCAUGAUCACAGGAAAGCAAAGCCUACAGUAUUGCCAAUGGGGAAAAUUAAGUGUAUUUUCCAUUUAUAGCUUUAUAGCUUGAUAGAAGUGAACAUUAUUUUCUUCAAUGUGGCAUGUUAUCUUCAACGUGACAGGACACCUGCCCCUGAUCAUUGAAAAAACACUCGAGUUAGAAGUUUUAA